CCUACGGGGGGCAGCAGUGGGGAAUAUUGGACAAUGGGGGCAACCCUGAUCCAGCCAUGCCGCGUGUGUGAAGAAGGCCCUCGGGUUGUAAAGCACUUUCAGUGAGGAAGAACGCCUGGUGGUUAAUACCCAUCAGGAAAGACAUCACUCACAGAAGAAGCACCGGCUAACUCCGUGCCAGCAGCCGCGGUAAUACGGAGGGUGCGAGCGUUAAUCGGAAUUACUGGGCGUAAAGCGCGCGUAGGUGGCUUGAUAAGCCGGUUGUGAAAGCCCCGGGCUCAACCUGGGAACGGCAUCCGGAACUGUCAAGCUAGAGUGCAGGAGAGGAAGGUAGAAUUCCCGGUGUAGCGGUGAAAUGCGUAGAGAUCGGGAGGAAUACUAGUGGCGAAGGCGGCCUUCUGGACUGACACUGACACUGAGGUGCGAAAGCGUGGGUAGCAAACAGGAUUAGAUACCCUGGUAGUC
rnacentral:rRNA from 1 species